rnacentral:rRNA from 1 species
GCCAUCCCGCGUGUGCGAUGAAGGCCUUCGGGUUGUAAAGCACUUUUGGCCGGAAAGAAACGUCGCGGGUUAAUACCCCGGGAAACUGACGGUACCUGCAGAAUAAGCACCGGCUAACUACGUGCCAGCAGCCGCGGUAAUACGUAGGGUGCAAGCGUUAAUCGGAAUUACUGGGCGUAAAGCGUGCGCAGGCGGUUCGGAAAGAAAGAUGUGAAAUCCCAGAGCUUAACUUUGGAACUGCAUUUUUAACUACCGGGCUAGAGUGUGUCAGAGGGAGGUGGAAUUCCGCGUGUAGCAGUGAAAUGCGUAGAUAUGCGGAGGAACACCGAUGGCGAAGGCAGCCUCCUGGGAUAACACUGACGCUCAUGCACGAAAGCGUGGGGAGCAAACAGGAUUAGAUACCCUGGUAGUCCACGCCCUAAACGAUGUCAACUAGCUGUUGGGGCCUUCGGGCCUUGGUAGCGCAGCUUACGCGUGAAGUUGACCGCCUGGGGAGUACGGUCGCAAGAUUAAAACUCAAAGGAAUUGACGGGGACCCGCACAAGCGGUGGAUGAUGUGGAUUAAUUCGAUGCAACGCGAAAAACCUUACCUACCCUUGACAUGUCUGGAA